CAGGAUGUAGCUAAGACAGCAAAGCAUCUCCCUUACACCGAGAAGUCACCCGUGCAAAUCCGGUCAUCCUGA
rnacentral:tRNA from 1 species